CUGCGAAUGGCUCAUUAAAUCAGUUAUAGUUUAUUUGAUGGUACUUUACUACAUGGAUAACUGUGGUAAUUCUAGAGCUAAUACAUGCGUACAAGCCCCGACUUUUUGGAAGGGGUGUAUUUAUUAGAUAAAAACCAACCGCUUCGGCGAUCUUUGGUGAAUCAUAAUAACUUUUCUAAUCGCAUGGCCUUGUGCCGGCGAUGCUUCAUUCAAAUAUCUGCCCUAUCAACUUUGAUGGUAGGAUAGAGGCCUACCAUGGUUGCAACGGGUAACGGGGAAUAAGGGUUCGAUUCCGGAGAGGGAGCCUGAGAAACGGCUACCACAUCCAAGGAAGGCAGCAGGCGCGCAAAUUACCCAAUCCCAAUACGGGGAGGUAGUGACAAUAAAUAACAAUAUAGGGCCUUUCAGGUGUUAUAAUUGGAAUGAGUACAAUUUAAAUCCCUUAACGAGGAACAAUCGGAGGGCAAGUUUGGGGCCAGCAGCCGCGGUAAAUCCAGCUCCAAUAGAGUAUAUUAAAGUUGUAGCAGUUAAAAAGCUGGUAGUUGAAUUUCAGGUCUUGGCCGGCCGGUCCACCUCAAGGCGUGCACUGGUGGGCGAGACCUUCCUUUCUUGGUGAGCUCUGUUUGCCGUUUACUCGGUGAGCAGAUGUCUGGCCAGGACUUUUACUUUGAAAAAAUUAGAGUGUUCAAAGCAGGCCUAUGCCCGAAUAUAUUAGCAUGGAAUAAUAGAAUAGGACGUCGCGGUCCUAUUUUGUUGGUUUCUAGGAUCGCCGUAAUGAUUAAUAGGGAUAGUCGGGGGCAUUUGUAUUCACAUGCUAGAGGUGAAAUUCUUGGAUUUUGUGAAGACAAACUACUGCGAAAGCAUUUGUCAAGGAUGUUUUCAUUAAUCAAGAACGAAGGUUAGGGGAUCGAAAACGAUUAGAUACCGUUGUAGUCUUAACAGUAAACUAUGCCGACUAGGGAUCGGGCGAUGUUAUUUUUCUUGACUCGCUCGGCACCUUACGAGAAAUCAAAGUUUUUGG
rnacentral:rRNA from 1 species